CAGUGUCGAAGCGAAGGUAUUAAGUUCACCGCCUGGGAAGUACGGUCGCAAGGCUGAAACUUAAAGGAAUUGGCGGGAGAGCACCACAAGGGGUGCGGCGUGCGGUUUAAUCUAACUUUACGCAGAGAAUCUCACCAGCAGCGACGGCAGAAUGAAGGUCAGAUUAAAUGUCUUACCUAACGAGCCGAGAGGUAGUGCAUGGCCGUCGUCAGCUCGUGCCGUGAGGUGUCCUCUUAAGUGAGGUAACGAGCGAGACCCAUGCCCAUAAUUGCCAGCAGGUUCUUUAGAACGACUGGGCACAUUAUGGGGACUGCUGUGGAAACGCAGAGGAAGGUAUGGGCAACGGUAGGUCUGUAUGCUCCGAAUCUGCUGGGCUACACGCGCGCAACAAUGGCGAGGACAAUGGGAUGCAACACCGAAAGGUGAAGCUAAACCUCCAAACCUCGUCCUAGUCUAGAUUGAGGAUUGUAAUUCAUCCUCAUGACAACGGAAUCCCUAGUAAUCGGGUUUCAUCACGACCCGGUGAAUAUGUCCCUGCUCUUUGCACACACCGCCCGUCAAACCAACCGAGUUGGGUUUG
rnacentral:rRNA from 1 species